GACGAACGCUGGCGGCGUGCUUAACACAUGCAAGUCGACAUGAGUGGCGACCGGGGGCGUAAUACGAGGAUAACCUGCACUCCUUUAUGGGAUCAGCCGUGGCAACGGGGUCUAAUACCGAAUAAAGGGGGAUGGGCUAGCGGCCUAUCAUCUUGUGGGGGGUGGGAUGGCCUAACAAGGCGGUGACAGGUAGCCGGCCUGAGAGGGGGACCGGCCACUGUGGGACUGAGAUACGGCCCAGAAUCCUACGGGAGGCAGAAGUGGGGGAUAUUGCACAAUGGGCGAAAGCCUGAUGCAGCGACGCCGCGUGGGGGAUGAAGGCUUUCGGGUUGUAAACCUCUUUCGCUAUCGAACGGGUAGGUGGAUAAUAAGCGCCGGCUAACUACGUGCCAGCAGCCGCGGGAAUAC
rnacentral:rRNA from 1 species